rnacentral:misc_RNA from 1 species
GAUGAAGAACGUAGCGAAAUGCGAUACGUAAUGUGAAUUGCAGAAUUCAGUGAAUCAUCGAAUCUUUGAACGCACAUUGCGCCCGCCAGCACUCUGGCGGGCAUGCCUGUUCGAGCGUCAUUUCAACCAUCAAGCCCCAGGCUUGCGUUGGAGCCCUGCGGCUGCCGCAGCCUCCUAAAGGCAGUGGCGGGCUCGCUAUCACACCGAGUGCAGUAGAUUACUCUUCGCUCAGGGCGUGCAGCGGGUUCCGGCCGUGAAACCCCCUACUUUUAAAGGUUGACCUCGGAUCAGGUAGGAAUACCCGCUGAACUUAAGCAUAUCAAUAAGCGGAGGA